GCUCUUUGGUGAUUCAUGAUAACUUAACGGAUCGCAUGGCCUUGCGCCGGCGACGGUUCAUUCAAAUUUCUGCCCUAUCAACUUUCGAUGGUAAGGUAUUGGCUUACCAUGGUUUCAACGGGUAACGGGGAAUCAGGGUUCGAUUCCGGAGAGGGAGCCUGAGAAACGGCUACCACAUCCAAGGAAGGCGGCAGGCGCGCAAAUUACCCAAUCCCGACACGGGGAGGUAGUGACAAUAAAUACUGAUACAGGGCUCUUUUGGGUCUUGUAAUCGGAAUGAGUACAAUUUAAACCCCUUAACCGAGGAACAAUUGGAGGGCAAGUCUGGUGCCAGCAGCCGCGGUAAUUCCAGCUCCAAUAGCGUAUAUUAAAGUUGUUGCAGUUAAAAAGCUCGUAGUUGAACCUUGGGCCUGGCUGGCCGGUCCGCCUCACCGCGGUGUACUGGUCCGGCCGGGCCUUUCCUUCUGGAGAGCCCCAUGCCCUUCACUGGGCCGGUGCGGGGGAACCAGGACUUUUACUUUGAAAAAAUUAGAGUGGUUCAAAGGCAGCGCUCU
rnacentral:rRNA from 1 species